CAAUAGCGUAUAUUAAAGUUGUUGCAGUUAAAAAGCUCGUAGUUGGAUUUCGGGGCAGCCUGGCUGGUCCGCCGCAAGGCGAGUACUGGUCAGCCGCCCUUCCUCUCGAAAGCCCCGACUGCUCUUCGUUGCAGUGGUCGGGUAGUUCGGGACGUCUACUUUGAAAAAAUUAGAGUGUUCAAGGCAGGCCUACGCCUGAAUACAUUAGCAUGGAAUAAUGGAAGAGGACCUCGGUCCUAUUUUGUUGGUUUCCAGGGCCGAAGUAAUGAUUAAGAGGGACAGUUGGGGGCAUUCGUAUUUAAUUGUCAGAGGUGAAAUUCUCGGAUUUAUGAAAGACGAACAACUGCGAAAGCAUUUGCCAAGGAUGUUUUCAUUAA
rnacentral:rRNA from 1 species